rnacentral:lncRNA from 1 species
UAAAAGCUCCAGAAAAUUUGACAUGGCCACUGUCGUAUACACAUUUGGAAACAGUGUGUACAUAUAUGUAGAAUAAAACCACAAUUGCUCAAACAGUGUAAUUUCUCGCAUGCGAGCACAGGCGCAAGCAUCAGACUUAGUUCAGAAACAGUUGGAAAAUAAAUAGUGAUAACCACAGGUUGGCCAAAGUACAAGCAGAAUCAUCAGCUAAAAUAAAUGUCGUCCAACAGUCACGCUUGAAAGAUCGAGCAUUAGCGCAGAUGGGAAAUCACAACAUGGUUCCUUCUGGAUGACACAGGGCCUCAAACUCGUUUGCACAUCCUGUUAAGAAUCAUCUACUCCAAUCAAUAUCUACAAUUACAGUUCACACGGUACUACAAGUACAUGUACCAGGAAUUAGCAAGAUGACUCCAGGACAUGUACGCUAGAUCAAUAUUGUUGAUUCUAAAAGCGUUGUUAGAACAUGGAUUGCAACAAGAAAAAAAAAGGCAUGAAUAAGAUGAACUAGUAAUGCUAUGAGAAAAUUCAAUUGGAUAUCAAAGUGCAGUUUCAUUAAGAUCAACAAAGUGAACCAGAAGAAAACACAGCAGAUAUAAUCUAUCUCCAGGCACGUCCGCUAACUCCCUGUUAACCAUUCUUUCACAUGCAAGUCAUAACAUUCAUGCACAAAACUUACUUUAAAGCUUCAAGGACAUAUAGAUACUCUUUACAAAUCAAGGAUGGGAACAACAAGCACAUCUCUUUUCCUGAUUACUAGUCUAAUAAAAGCUGCAAUUGGGGGAAAUUGACAAAAGGAAAGAAACAUAGUGCAUGGAUAAUCGAAUAGUAGUCAUACCCCCAGAAGGAUGAAGCCAAGUGUUGAGAUGAUUAGAUGAUUCUGCAUCAUAACAUAGUAUUCAAGCCUGAAUUUCAGAGAAUUUCAUAAGGAGCAUAGUCCUGCAUGCAAAAGUAAAAAAGAUCAUCAAUAGAAUUUCAGAGACAAAAAGUACCAACUACCAAGGGAGUACUCGUAAGGAAUAAUACAUUAAUACUUAAUGGGAUUGGAUUUGUAAAUGUUGGAUUUAAGCUGGGAAAUGAUGGCAUAGGCUAGAAUUAACCAAAGCUAAAAACAAGUUGCAGUUGAUUCGUGCAGGCAUAAACAGAAGGGAAAAUGAUGUAAAGUAUAGAGGUGCGGCAAAUAAAACAAAUGACACAGCUCGAUCACAUAAAAAAUAGUUCUAGUAAGUCUAGUAUGUAUGAACUAUGAAGCAGAUCUUAAAACUCAUUAAACAAUUUUUCUUCUGGGGAAUUAACUGCAGUAGAACAAAGCAAAGCUUGCAGCAGUGAAAGAUAUGUUCAGCAAAUUUGAUUUGGCUAUUCUGCUGAUGUUUCACUUGUAGAAGUACCAUAUUACCAGAGCAUAGCUCUGGAAGAUUCGGUCUUAUUUUCCUGUUGGCAGGGUCUGCUAUUUCUUUUAUCUAAUGAUGAAGCAAUCGCCCCAUUCUGCAAGAAACACACCAAUGUCAUGGUUAGUGCAGAGUUGUGGGCGCGGACGAAAGAAAGGAAUGAGUGUGCACAUAAUUUUCGCACACAAGAACCAGAGGCAAAUGUGAUCGAAAAAUUUCACGAGCACGCCAAUGAAUAUUCACAUAAAAACGUGUGGUAAUAGGAACAAUAAGAUCCAACUAGUUUUGAGGAACUGAUGGCCCUAAACUGACAACAAAUUUGAGCAACCAGCAAGCAGUAGCACACCUAUCUGUGUUCCGCCUGCUACCACUGAGCUCGAGCCGACGACUGUGAUUUCUUCAUAUAAAAGUACUAACUAUCAUGUGGAAACGUUUAUAAAAAUGAAUUGGGGAAAAGUACGAUUAGAUUGGAAGAACGGUUAUACUCAUGGAUAAGGGAAGAAGAGAACAUACCCUUCAUAGUUGAAUCGCGGAAGACCGUCAACUCCUGUACCUCUAUAGAAUCGACGCCCCGGACGACGACAUCGGACAUAGACGAGCCAUCGCUGCCAAAUAAAUCAACGCGCACAGUCGAUUCAGAGGAACACAGGGCGAGAUUAAGCUUCUAUGCCGUAGAUCCUUACCCAGGUACAUGAGAGGGAGGAGAGAGAGAGAGAGAGAGAGAUAUGACACCGGGCACAUUUUUCCAACCCUAGCUCCCACCUGCUCCCAUGGAUUACGGCGGCACGGGAGAGAAGAGAAGGCAGAGGAAGGGAAACGAUGAGAGAGAGGACGAGUACAGAAUUCUGAGCCACUUUAAGGUUAAAUC